rnacentral:rRNA from 1 species
UACGUAGGGUCCAAGCGUUAUCCGGAUUUAUUGGGUUUAAAGGGUGCGUAGGCGGCUUUGUAAGUCAGUGGUGAAAUAUGGCAGCUCAACUGUCAGGGUGCCAUUGAUACUGCGGAGCUUGAGUACAGAUGAGGUAGGCGGAAUUCCCGGUGUAGUGGUGGAAUGCGUAGAUAUCGGGAGGAACACCAGUGGCGAAGGCGGUUGCCUGGAGCUUUGCUGACGCUGAGGCGCGAAAGCGUGGGGAGCGAGUCGG